rnacentral:rRNA from 1 species
GAUGAACGCUGGCGGCGUGCCUAAUACAUGCAAGCCGGGCGAACGGACGAGAACCUUGCUUCUCUGAUGUUAGCGGCGGACGGGUGAGUAACACGUGGAUAACCUACCUAUAAGACUGGGAUAACUUCGGGAAACCGGAGCUAAUACCGGAUAAUAUUUUGAACCGCAUGGUUCAAAAGUGAAAGACGGUCUUGCUGUCACUUAUAGAUGGAUCCGCGCUGCAUUAGCUAGUUGGUAAGGUAACGGCUUACCAAGGCAACGAUGCAUAGCCGACCUGAGAGGGUGAUCGGCCACACUGGAACUGAGACACGGUCCAGACUCCUACGGGAGGCAGCAGUAGGGAAUCUUCCACAAUGGGCGAAAGCCUGACGGAGCAACGCCGCGUGAGUGAUGAAGGUCUUCGGAUCGUAAAACUCUGUUAUUAGGGAAGAACAUAUGUGUAAGUAACUGUGCACAUCUUGACGGUACCUAAUCAGAAAGCCACGGCUAACUACGUGCCAGCAGCCGCGGUAAUACGUAGGUGGCAAGCGUUAUCCGGAAUUAUUGGGCGUAAAGCGCGCGUAGGCGGUUUUUUAAGUCUGAUGUGAAAGCCCACGGCUCAACCGUGGAGGGUCAUUGGAAACUGGAAAACUUGAGUGCAGAAGAGGAAAGUGGAAUUCCAUGUGUAGCGGUGAAAUGCGCAGAGAUAUGGAGGAACACCAGUGGCGAAGGCGACUUUCUGGUCUGUAACUGACGCUGAUGUGCGAAAGCGUGGGGAUCAAACAGGAUUAGAUACCCUGGUAGUCCACGCCGUAAACGAUGAGUGCUAAGUGUUAGGGGGUUUCCGCCCCUUAGUGCUGCAGCUAACGCAUUAAGCACUCCGCCUGGGGAGUACGACCGCAAGGUUGAAACUCAAAGGAAUUGACGGGGACCCGCACAAGCGGUGGAGCAUGUGGUUUAAUUCGAAGCAACGCGAAGAACCUUACCAAAUCUUGACAUCCUUUGACAACUCUAGAGAUAGAGCCUUCCCCUUCGGGGGACAAAGUGACAGGUGGUGCAUGGUUGUCGUCAGCUCGUGUCGUGAGAUGUUGGGUUAAGUCCCGCAACGAGCGCAACCCUUAAGCUUAGUUGCCAUCAUUAAGUUGGGCACUCUAAGUUGACUGCCGGUGACAAACCGGAGGAAGGUGGGGAUGACGUCAAAUCAUCAUGCCCCUUAUGAUUUGGGCUACACACGUGCUACAAUGGACAAUACAAAGGGCAGCGAAACCGCGAGGUCAAGCAAAUCCCAUAAAGUUGUUCUCAGUUCGGAUUGUAGUCUGCAACUCGACUACAUGAAGCUGGAAUCGCUAGUAAUCGUAGAUCAGCAUGCUACGGUGAAUACGUUCCCGGGUCU